rnacentral:rRNA from 1 species
GUGAGUCAUCGAAUCUUUGAACGCACCUUGCGCCCCUUGGUAUUCCGAGGGGCACACCCGUUUGAGUGUCGUGAAUUCCCCAAAUCUUUUCUUUGAUAGGAAAGGAUUUUGGACUUGGAGGCCUUUUGCUGGUUUCACCUUGAAGCGAGCUCCUCCCAAAUGAAUUAGCGGGGUCUGCUUUGCCGAUCCUUGACGUGAUAAGUCAUUUCUACGUCUUGGGUUUCGGUGCCGUACGCCUGCUUCUAACUGUCUCACGGACAAAGGUAGUGUUCGGGUCACCGUCGAUUCGUCGGUCGGAGGCUUGACACACAAAAUGAACCUUGACCUCAAUCGGGUGAGACUACCCGCUGAACUU